CCUACGGGGGGCAGCAGUGAGGAAUAUUGGUCAAUGGCCGAGAGGCUGAACCAGCCAAGUCGCGUGAGGGAAGACGGCCCUACGGGUUGUAAACCUCUUUUGUCGGGGAGCAAAGCGAACCACGUGUGGUUCAUUGAGAGUACCCGAAGAACAAGCCUCGGCUAACUCCGUGCCAGCAGCCGCGGUAAUCCGGAGGAUGCGAGCGUUAUCCGGGUUUAUUGGGUUAAAAGGGUGCGCAGGCGGAGGUGCAAGUCAGCGGUAAAAUUGCGGGGCUCAACCCCGUACUGCCGUUGAAACUGCAUCCCUUGAGUGCGCGAGAAGUAUGCGGAAUGCGUGGUGUAGCGGUGAAAUGCAUAGAUAUCACGCAGAACUCCGAUUGCGAAGGCAGCAUACCGGCGCGCAACUGACGCUCAUGCACGAAAGCGUGGGUAUCGAACAGGAUUAGAUACCCCAUUAGUC
rnacentral:rRNA from 1 species